ACUUGAACGCAACACCAUAUAUAGCGCUGUUGCCAUGGAAACGUGACUCUGUGGCUGUGGUGGAUCCAAAGAAAAAAGCUACCAAGGCUCAAAACAUUACAAGUCUACACAAUGGAGACUCCUGAAAAUAAUGCAGAAACAAGCUUGAAUAUAAAAAUAACUGUCAUCCGUGGAAAUAACCUGCAAGGGAAAAAAGCAGACAGCUUCCAGAGUUUUCUGCAGGUUGAAGUGGAUGGAAAUGUGCUGAAAGAGUCAGAUAAGAAGCAGGUCGACCCUGUGGAGCAGCGUGUUGAAUACGACUUUGCCUGCAGCUUCCACUGCCCCAAUAACACUCAGGCUCUCAGUGACAUCGCCAAUAAACCCAUCAUAUUGACGGUGAGAGAGUUCCUGCCUGAGGAGAAGAAAGCUGAGGCGAAGACACCAGUGCUGGGCCAAGCUGUGGUCGACCUACUGCCGCUGCUACAAGGUCAGUGCAGCUUCUCGUCAACAGUCCCACUGAACCCAGUGACCUCCCAGGACUCCAGCACCAAGUCACAGAACAGCCUGAAUGUGGUGACAGCAGUUAGAACCAGACAGAAGCAGGUGGCCAGCCAAGUCAUUUUAAAGUCGAAGAGGAAGCCGCCGACCCUGGAUGUGUGUGUUAGUGUGUCCAAUCCAGUGCUGUCUGAGGCUGAGCUCUCAGCCUCCAACCUGCUGAGGGUAACCGUGGAGACAGCCUACUCCAUCCCUGAGUCAUGGAUGCUGCAGUCUGGCCCUGCCCCUACUCCCUGCACGUUCACUGCUGCCCUGGAGGUCCCGCUUGAUGCACACAACAAUCAGGUGCUGGUAUUCUGUGAGGGGCAGCUGAAGGCAGGGGGGCAGAGGGAGGAAAUAGGCCGACAGAAGAAGAGGCCCCAUCAGGCCCUGCUGGUCCCAGGGAACCACUUCCUGCCUGAUGCCUUUUUCCAGGCAGAGUCCAUGGAACAGGAGGACGGUGAGCUGACUGGCUUGGAGGACUGGGAGUUUCGUAAUGAGGCAGAGACCACGAAGAAUAGGGUGAGCUGGGACACAGAGAUGUGCUGCUUCCUGGAUGCAGGAGGAACUGCCAGGCUGCGGCAGAAGAUCACUGAGAGCAGACUGUGGCCAGUUGAGAUAAUGAGGGCGUUGGCUCCGCUGACAAAGGAAACCAAGACGCAAGCCGAGGAGAACCCAGAGAUCCCCUUCCACGGUGUGGCAUUUGUGGACAUGGGGCAGCUGCUGUAUCCUGGAGUCAGCCGCAUCCGAGGAGCAUACAGCAUUCAGCCCUUCUCCGAGGCUGAGUUGCUGAAAAAGGCCAAGCGGAGUGUCAGUGUGUUAAAGGAGCAGGCCAAUGCUGCAGCCAACCAGGCCAAAGCUUGUGCUGCCUCAGCUGGAGGCUCUAACAAGGCAAAGGCAGGGAAGAACUCGGAUGGAAGGGGAGCAAAGGAUCCCAAGGAUCCAGCUAAAAAGCAACCCGGUAGCCAGAGCAGGUUGGCUGCAGCCGACAUCGUCGCCGACAGCGGGUCCGAAAAUGAGCUGAACGUCAAUACCGAGGGAAAUAUGUAUGUGGAGGCCAAAACUUAUAUUAUCAUUGAGAUAGCCUUGGAGAAACCGCUGGUACCCAAAACAUCUCCAGAGGAGCUGUCCAGAAGGGUAAAGGCGUUGAUCCCACCCAGAACUCCACUUCCAGCCGGUCCAAGCAGAGCAGAAAGAGCAGUGCUGGACUUCCACAGGCAGGUUGGCAACGUGGUGAGCCAUGUUUCGGACCAGUAUGAGGAAUUGUUUGGAGCAAGAUGCAAGCCAUCUGGAGACUGCAGCCGGGAGCAAAAAAAGGUUCAGCUGAUGGGAACGCUCAAUGUCUCUGCGAGAUACUUUACCUUUAAGGAACAGAUGAAGCAUGCAGUGGUAAGGAUUGUACGUGACAAGAUGCAGCGAACAGAGCCAUUCACUGACCCUCAGGAGCUAAAGGCUUUUGUCAGCAAGCUCUAUGUCUACUUGGUGGACGAGAUGCACAUAGCUCUCAACAAGAUUUAUUCAGAUGGCGUUGAUGAUGACUCCCUGAAUGAGAUCCAUUUGACUUCUUCUCAGCUCAGCCACUUUGCCAGAGAGGCUAAGCUUACUGGGGAUUAUCAACAGGCUGUUCAGUACUACCAAGAGCUGGUGGUGAGGCACCCAAUGGAGCCCUCUCACAAGUUUGAGUGGGGAAGCCUUUACAUGCUGACUGGAGAAUACAUGAAGGCUAAAGAGUGUUUCCAUGACGCCGUGUCCAUCCAGCAGGCACACCAACCCAGCCUGAUGAUGUGUGGGGUCUUGGCAGUGAUGUUUGAGCAUUAUGAGGAGGCCCAGACCUUCCUGGAAAGAGCUGCCAGCAUAGAACCGCCCAGUGUGGUGGCCUGGGUGCUGCUGGGUUUGCUCCACGAGAGCCAGAGCGAAUCCAUCUUGGCUGAGAGGGCUUUUCUGGAGGCCAGAACGCAGCUGAGGGCAAAAGAAGCAAAGAAGCAAACACUGAGGGAGGAGGAGGAGGAGAAAGACAGGGAGGACAAAAAUGAGAAGGAGAAAGACCAGCGAGAGGAAGAGGAGAUGGCCACGCCUGCAUGUCAGUCUACCACUGUUAAGAAAGACCCAGAGUGUGGAGACCAGGACUCAGAGGUGCAAGCAGAGCCUCCUGCACAGAGUAUCAGCUCCAGAUCAGCUCCAGCUGAUCUCUCCUCAGAGAACAUUUACACAGAGACAGUUCAGUUCCUGCUGCAGAACAUUGCCCUGCAGAUGGCGGAGCGUGCUCUGUCCCUGGAGCUGCUGUGUUCAGCUGGUGGUCGCAGUGUCUCCUAUCUUCUUCAUCUGGCGCAGCUGCAGCUGCUCAGAGCUGACUACUGCAGUGCCGCCGCCAGCCUCAAGGAGGCGCUGUUUCACAGAGACCAGGAUGUGGAUGCGUGGGCGCUUAAUGGUCACUGUCACUACCUGCAAGGGUCGUUCAGUGAUGCCCAGGAGAGCUAUGAGCGGAGCCUGAACUUCCUGCAGCUGCCAUCAGACGCUCACCUUGUCCUACUCCGCCUGGGAUCCAUCUACCUCCAGCAGGGGAAGUUUGAGCAAGCCAAAGUUGUCUACCUUCAGGCUUGUGAGCAGUCUCCGUCCUGCCUGACCUGGCUGGGCCUGGGCACCGCCUGUUACCGGCUGGAUGAGCUGUGUGUAGCUGAAGAAGCUUUGACUGAGGCCAAUCAUUUGAACAACCAGAACGCAGAGGUUUGGGCUUACCUGUCUAUGAUCUGCCUCAGGUCUGGCAGACAAGAGGAAGCAGAGCAGUUUUAUAAAUAUGCAACAAGGUUCAACCUGCAGAAGGAGUCACUCUUCAAAGAGUUCACUGACCUGAAGGAUCAGCUCCGCUUCGCUCAUCUGGUGCCAUGCUUUGGAACAAGCUCAUAAAUCAUUUGACCAAGUACAUUUCAUACACACACACACACACACACACACACACAAAUACAUUUUAUUGUAUUUUAAACAUUUAACACUUGUGAAAAUAAAACACAGCCAGCUCGGACGCACAUGAUGGGUCAGAUUUUACACAGUGGAGAUCAGUAACUGUUUAAGUCAUAAUAAAGUUAAACCCUGUUCAAUAUCGACACAACAAACAAACUCAAAGCAACACAAAUAGUCUGAAAUGUGUAUAAAACAACUGCAGUAUAGUCCUUUUUAAAAAUGUAGAGCAUUAACAAAAGAAAAGAAAAAGGGCUUGUGGUGACAGGUAUCAACAGAAUAUAUUAAAUCAUCUCCCAUUUCAUGUCAUUUUUACCAUCUGACCAGCAAAACAAGCCUGAUGAGACGUUCUAAAACGUCUUACCAGAUUUUGGCACAAUCCUUUGAAAGGAAAUGCUAUGUGGAAUAGAUAUUUUGGCUACAAUUCCUGUCAAAUUGUUUUAUAAUAUAUGUGUUGCAACAAAUGCAUUUAGGCCUGAAUGUAUUUCUUAUUUUAAAUUUGAAAAUGAAUGUUCCCAGAAUGUAGCUGGUACUGUGAUUGGAAAUGCAUUUAAAAUACACUGUAUUAAAGUGGCCAUUUUGUCCCCCAUUUUAA